rnacentral:tRNA from 1 species
AGGCCGUUGGUCAGGGUUAAGACACCGCCUUUCACGGCGGUAACACGGGUUCGAAUCCCGUACGGACUA